GGUCCAGUAGUGUAGAGGUUAUCACAUGGGAUUCUGAUAGCUGAUUUCCCAUAACCCAGGUUCGAGUCCUGGUUGGACCU